UACGGAGGGGGCUAGCGUUGUUCGGAAUUACUGGGCGUAAAGCGCACGUAGGCGGCUUUGCAAGUUAGAGGUGAAAGCCCGGGGCUCAACUCCGGAAUUGCCUUUAAAACUGCAUCGCUAGAAUUGUGGAGAGGUAAGUGGAAUUCCGAGUGUAGAGGUGAAAUGCGUAGAGAUCCGGAGGAACACCGAAGGCGAAGGCAGUGUCCUGGGGAGUACCUGACGCUCAGGUGCGAAAGCCAGGGGAGCGAACGGG
rnacentral:rRNA from 1 species